UGGUGCCGGCAAACCCCUGAGUGACCCUGUGUUGGUGCCGGCAAACCCCUGAGUGACCCUGUGCUGGUGCCGGCAAACCCCUGAGUGACCCUGUGCUGGUGCCGGCAAACCCCUGAGUGACCCUGUGCUGGUGCCGGCAAACCCCUGAGUGACCCUGUGCUGGUGCCGGCAAACCCCUGAGUGACCCUGUGCUGGUGCCGGCAAACCCCUGAGUGACCCUGUGUUGGUGCCCGCAAACCCCUGAGUGACCCUGUGUUGGUGCCGGCAAACCCCUGAGUGACCCUGUGCUGGUGCCGGCAAACCCCUGAGUGACCCUGUGUUGGAGCCGGCAAACCCCUGAGUGACCCUGUGUUGGAGCCGGCAAACCCCUGAGUGACCGUGUGCUGGUGCCGGCAAACCCCUGAGUGACCGUGUGCUGGUGCCGGCAAACCCCUGAGUGACCCUGUGUUGGUGCCGGCAAACCCCUGAGUGACCCUGUGUUGGUGCCGGCAAACCCCUGAGUGACCCUGUGCUGGUGCCGGCAAACCCCUGAGUGACCCUGUGUUGGUGCCGGCAAACCCCUGAGUGACCCUGUGUUGGUGCCGGGAAACCCCUGAGUGACCCUGUGCUGGUGCCGGCAAACCCCUGAGUGACCCUGUGCUGGUGCCGGCAAACCCCUGAGUGACCCUGUGCUGGUGCCGGCAAACCCCUGAGUGACCCUGUGCUGGUGCCGGCAAACCCCUGAGUGACCCUGUGCUGGUGCCGGAAAACCCCUGAGUGACCCUGUGUUGGUGCCGGAAAACCCCUGAGUGACCCUGUGCUGGUGCCGGCAAACCCCUGAGUGACCCUGUGUUGGUGCCGGAAAACCCCUGAGUGACCCUGUGUUGGUGCCGGAAAACCCCUGAGUGACCCUGUGUUGGUGCCGGCAAACCCCUGAGUGACCCUGUGUUGGUGCCGGCAAACCCCUGAGUGACCCUGUGUUGGUGCUUGGAAAACCCCUGAUGUUCAUGUGAUGAGCAGGAAGACACAGAUUUUGAGACACUGAGACACGUGAGGCUGUUGUUACAUCAUGUAUUUCUGUGGUAUCUUCCUAUGAAUGAUAUAAUAUGUUGAACUGGUCAACAACAAACUCCUGUUGUUUUUCUCAUUGCGGUGUAAUCACACUGUAUUCCUCUUAAGUCAUGAGUGCACUGUGUUUCCAGGUGGUAGCAAUUUUGAUAUUUGACACAUUCACAUCCUGCAAAUGAACCAGUGAGUGACGAACGGAGGAAGGGGAAAAAUAACAGAAGAAAGGAUGAGUAACUAGCCUUUCACUGAGGAGACCAAGAAAACAGGAGCACUGCCCGUGUAACCCAGGAGCCCCAUGGGAUCAAGGCCAGGGAGCAACGUCCCAGGAGGUUGCUGAUGUUUUCCCUUUGAGGGUGACGAACUAGGUCGGUAAUUAAACACGGAAACAGGGUUAAACUCGACAAAGCAUAUAAAGGAGGGGACAUGCAGACCCCACAUGUGUGCUGAGGGGGGUGUGCUGAGGGGGUUGUCUUCCUGUUACACUGACAGUCCUAUUUCGGUCAUAGAUUCGGCACCUUCCUUAGCGUGUCAACUUUACCAUGUCCUCACGUUCUCCCGAUGAUGACAUCACUUACAUUUCGAAUGGAAGAGAGUUUAAGAGCAGACUGCCCCCCCCCUCCUUUCACAGAAUUGCCGAUGCCUUAUAUUAUCGUUUAACUGCUUAUCCUGGUCAUACUUGGGAAGGGCAAAGGGGGAUAGGAGCCUCUUGCAGGCAGGCUGGACCCACAAGGCUGGACUUCACCCUAGAUGCCAGUCUAUCACAGGGCACAAUGACACGCGCAUUCAUGCACUUUGGGAAAUACAGACACCAGACGGCCUAACGGCAUGUCUCAGGGCUGCCAGAGGAACCCAUGUGGCAGGAGCAACGUGCAAACUCCGCACACACAGAGCAACAGCAAAAUCUGAACCGCUAACCCUGGAGGCAUCUGCCAGCAAUGCUGUCCACUGAGUCCUUAGGUCAUGUUCAGCUAUAUUUGUUAUAAUUCCGAUAUUUGAUGAUAUAUAAAGCUCUGAGGAAAAGAGUGUUUUUUUUUAUCUCAACAGGACAGAAAUCUGACAAAAAUAAAUAAAUAAAUGACACCCUGGAAGAGUCAGGCAUGGAAGUCAGCCAUGCUCUCACACCCAGGACCCUUGUUAAAGCAUCCUGUGAUGGUCCUCUCCUUCAGUCAAUCAUCUCCACUGCACCUCCACCCCUCCUCACCUCGACGAGCCUGUCCUUGGGCUGGAGCCCCGCCUUCUCGGCCGGUGAGCCCGGAUCCACGGAGCGGAUGAACUGCCCGGGUCGGGUCUUGUCGCUGUGUAGGUUGAAGCCGUAUCCCUGCUCGCUCUUCGCCAAGCGGCACAGCCGCGGUUGCUGCUUUAUGACUGGGGGGUCUGUCUCCUACAGCAGCCAGCAGAGUCCGGUCAGACGAGGGGUCAGGGGUCAGGGUGAGGGAGAGAAAUGAGCAAAGGAAGAACAAUUCAUGCUUAAUAUUUAUUCCCCGGAGUCCAUAUUAGUCCGCCACUGGUUUCCAGUAAACACAACAUACCAUAACAUGCUCAGCCUGUAUGCUCUACAUGCAUUGCUGGUAUAGUGCUUAGCAUAGCAUUUGCAAAUAACAUUUGAUUUCUGGUCAACGGAGCUUAUUUUCCAAAGCAGGGAGAGUGAGAAAAGCUUCUACCCUCAGGCUUUCGUGCAUCAAACAAGGAAUCCAGCAAACCCCUUACGACAUCCCACCCUUUCAUCACACAUCUCUUUACUACUACCGACGUCCUUGAUAUCUAUUUUCAUUUUUGUCUGUAUUGUUGUCACUUCAUUUUUAGCAUUUCAAGCUUAUCUUUUUAUACUUGAUAUUUUCUUUGAAUUAUGCAUUUCAUUACAAGCAGGAAGCAGCUGGAAAACCAAAUUCACUCCGCAGAUGUUCAGCAUAUAUUUAUGACUGUGACAAAUAAAAUUCGAAACAAAUGUUAAA